ensembl:snoRNA SNORA71 Small nucleolar RNA SNORA71
UCCUGCACCCAAAAUGACUGCAGGCUGUCUUUACCCUGGUCGUUGAUAGUGCAGGGAGAGGAAUCACUGACAGAAGUUUCUGUGUGUGAAGGGUCCAGCUGGGCGUCCCCUUCCAAACCCUGGAGCUUUCCCACA